AUUGAACGCUGGCGGCAGGCCUAACACAUGCAAGUCGAACGAGUGGCGGACGGGUGAGUAAUGUCUGGGAAACUGCCUGAUGGAGGGGGAUAACUACUGGAAACGGUAGCUAAUACCGCAUACCAUCGGAUGUGCCCAGAUGGUAUUGGCUAGUAGGGGGGGUAAAGGCUCACCUAGGCGACGAUCCCUAGCUGGUCUGAGAGGAUGACCAGCCACACUGGAACUGAGACAGGGUACAGACGCCUACGGGAGGCAGCAGUGGGGAAUAUUGCACAAUGGGGGCAAGCCUGAUGAAGCUAUGCCGCGUGUAUGAAGAAGGAGUUCGGGUUGGAAAGUACUUUCAGCGGGGAGGCGUUACCAGCAGAAGAAGCACCGGCUAACUCCGUGCCAGCAGCCGCGGUAAUAC
rnacentral:rRNA from 1 species